rnacentral:rRNA from 1 species
GCUGGCGGCGUGCCUAACACAUGCAAGUCGAACGCGAAAGCCUCGCAAGGGGCCUGUAGCGUGGCAAACGGGUGAGUAACACGUGGGUGACCUGCCUUCGAGCGGGGGAUAACGUCCCGAAAGGGACGCUAAUACCGCAUGACAUCCUGCCUUUGAAGAGGUGGAGAUCAAAGCUGGGGAUCGCAAGACCUGGCACUUGAAGAGGGGCCCGCGUCUGAUUAGCUAGUUGGUGAGGUAAUGGCUCACCAAGGCAACGAUCAGUAUCCGGCCUGAGAGGGCGGACGGACACACUGGGACUGAGACACGGCCCAGACUCCUACGGGAGGCAGCAGUGGGGAAUUGUUCGCAAUGGGCGCAAGCCUGACGACGCAACGCCGCGUGGAGGAUGAAGACCUUCGGGUCGUAAACUCCUUUCGAUCGAGACGAAUGACCUUCGGGUGAAUAAUCCGGAGGAGUGACGGUACCGAGAGAAGAAGCCCCGGCUAACUCCGUGCCAGCAGCCGCGGUAAUACGGGGGGGGCAAGCGUUGUUCGGAAUUACUGGGCGUAAAGGGCUC